CAAUAUAGUUCAUUUUCGAGCCAGAAAUGUCAACGGCGACUGAGAAACACACCGAUAAUGCCGGCCUCAGUUAGAGCUUUCCUACUGUUUUUGGUGUAAAUGAAAUGGAAAGGGUUAAGGCUCAUUAAUCCAUCCCAUGGAAAUGCAGUUGAAUGUCAGGCGCCAUUAUUCGCACGAAAACAAACUCUUUCACAUCAUGCCAGCUUGACUGAACAAAUGAACUAUUAUAAGCAUGCUCAGAAACAACAUGAUGAUCUUCAAG